AGCGGAGGGAUCAUUACUGAGUUAUUAAAACUCCAAACCCUUUGUGAACCUUACUGUCGUUGCCUCGGCGUGAGCUACGGCUACCCUGUAGUUACCCUAUAGCUACCCUGCAGCUACCCUAUAGUUGACCAGUGGCUACCCUGUAGUUACCCUAUAGCUACCCUGCAGCUACCCUAUAGUUGACCAGUAGCUACCCUGUAGCCGGCUUAUGGCCCGCCGAAGGACCGCUAAACUCUUGUUUUUUACCACUGUUUCUCUGAAUUGUAAACUUAAAUAAGUUAAAACUUUCAACAACGGAUCUCUUGGUUCUGGCAUCGAUGAAGAACGCAGCGAAAUGCGAUAAGUAAUGUGAAUUGCAGAAUUCAGUGAAUCAUCGAAUCUUUGAACGCACAUUGCGCCCAUUAGUAUUCUAGUGGGCAUGCCUAUUCGAGCGUCAUUUCGACCCUUAAGCCCCUGUUGCUUAGCGUUGGGAAUCUACAGCGUAGUUCCUUAAAGUUAGUGGCGGAGUUAGGGUACACUCUCAGCGUAGUAAUCUUUCUCGCUCGUGUGGUGGCCCUGGCUGCUAGCCGUUAAACCCCUAUAUUUUCUAGUGGUUGACCUCGGAUUAGGUAGGAAUACCCGCUGAACUUAAGCAU
rnacentral:rRNA from 1 species